rnacentral:lncRNA from 1 species
UGAACUGCUGUACCCGGCCUGGUUGUUGCAUUUUAAUGUACUGAGCCAAGCACCAGGCUCCAGGGACACUGCUACUAGGUGGCCUGUCCUUGGCUCUGAUGCAGGCGCUUCCAGGAAGAAUGGGCUGCAGCUCUGUGCAGCCUGCCUGUGCUGGGCCAAUGUCAGCUCCCCUUGCUCGAACAGGAUUGGCCAGAACACGCCCUGUGCCUGCGAGCAGCCUUGAAUGCCACUGGGGAUUUGAGGUUUAGGCGUCCCGUUCCUUGAGCAGGAACCUCUGCAGAAAGGCAAUUAGAAGAACAAAGUGCCCUCUCCCUGACGGUCUGUCUCCCUCACACCAAAAAGGAAGGUGAAGCUUCCUUUUUAAGGAGACCCCUUUUUAAGAACCACGGGGUAGCUGUGGUGGUUCACGUCUAUAAUCCCAGUGCUUUAGGAGACCACAGUGGGAGGAUCACUUGAGCCCAGGAGUUUGGAACCAGCCUUGGCAACAGGGGUUGGAGGCUGCAGUGAGCUAUGAUCAUGCCACUGCACUCCACCCUGGGCAACAUAGUGAGACCCCAUCUCUACAAAUGAUAUAAAAGGCACCUGGGGGUGGUGGUGCGUGCCUGUGGUCCCAGCUAUUCAGAAGCCUGAGGCAGGAGGAUCGCUUGAAUCCAGGAGUUCAAAGCUGCAGUGAACUGUGAUUGUGCCAUUGCACUCCAGCCUGGGCACCAGAGCGAGACCCUGUCUCUUAAAAAAAAAGAAGAAGAAGAAACAUGUAUGAGAUAGAGCGCUGCAAAUCUGGUUCCAACUUUCUCUGUGAUUUUGCUGGAAUUUGUUCAACACUGAGCUCACAGACAGCAGUGAACCAAAACUUGUUUUCUUUGGACUGCUUUGAGCAAAAAUAGAAGAAAGGGGCUCAUUUUUUUCCAGUGAUUUUUUAUUUUUCAUCAAUAGUGCAGAUCCAAAGGGUGGCUUACAAUGGUCUUCGCCAUGUACUGGAUGGACGUGUACUUAUUAUGAAUCCUCACACCCUGAGACCCAAGAGGAUCCCUCGUAAAACAAGGCCAUAUCUGAUUUGGAUUAAAAUCCCCACGGAGAACCUGAUGUCACCCAGGAAAGUGCACGUCUCCUUGCGUGCUCUUGAGAAACGGUUGAGAAAACAGUCCUUCCAGCUCAGUAAAUACCAUUUUCUUUCUGUCUGCUCACCACCCUUGCAUUUGCAAUAAACCUGACAAAAACUUCCAGAGCGAAAAUAAGAAUGUUCAUAUUUGAAGGAGAUGUUGGCAGACGGCCACAGACUUCAAGUACGCAAGCUCAUUCCGCUCUUGCUUUUCUGCCAAUAACUCCUUGGCCUCCGCGCACUCUGCACAGGCGGGGCCUGAGGACGGAUCAUGAUCGUGUCCGAUGAUCACGGACCCGCCGGAGACUCUCAAUGGAGAGGCGAUGAGUCACAGCCAAGCGAACUUUCUCUGCUCCUGAACAAAUUGCUUCUCCUCGUCGUCCCACUCCAAACCUAGAGGUGGGACAACCCCAGCAUCCUGGGCGUGAACGCACCCAGCUUGAUUGUCACAUGGGGAAUAGAGACCUCGCGCCUGCCUGGCAUAGGCCAACCCAGUAAUGUUCAUUUAAAGCUGGCUUUACUAGUCCUUCUUCCACAAUGAGAGGUGACCCUUCACUUCACCGAGAAAGGAAGGAAGAAAGGGAGAAACAGGAAAACUUUGAAGAAUCUUCCAGAUUUGCCUAACGCAGAUGUGCAUGACCUGACAAGAUAGAUGUGCCAUUUGGACCCUUUCAAGAGCAGACAGAAUGGAAGGGAGGCUGGAGUGCAAUGGUGUGAUCUCUGCUCCUGCAACCUGCGCCUCCUGAGUUCAAGCGAUUCUCCUGCCUCAGCCUCCCAAGUUGCUGGGAUUACAGGGGCCCGCCACCACGCCCAGCUAAUUUUUGUUAUUUUCAGUAGAGAUGGGGUUUCAUCAUGUUGGCCAGGCUAGUCUUGAACUCCUGACCUCAGGCGAUCCGCCCGCCUCGGCCUCCCAAAGUGCUGGGAUUACAGGUGUGAGCCACUGCACCUGCCCAAGGACUAAGGUUUUCUAUUUCUUAUUGUGUCAGUUAGGUUGUAUUUUUCUGUGAAUCUGUUCAUUUCACCAAAUUUUCAAGUUUGUUGGCUUAAAGUUUUCGAUAAUAUACUCUUAUUUUGUGGUGAAGUCCCUUUUUUAUUUCUUGUAUUUGUUAUUUGUGCCUUCUUUUCUUUUUUUUUUUUCCUUUUCUUUUUUAUGAGAUAGAGUUUCACUCUUGUCGCCCAAGCUGGAGUGCAAUGGCGCGAUCUCAGCUCACUGAAACCUCUGCCUCCCGGGUUCAAGCGAUUCUCCUGCCUCAGCCUCCUGAGUGGCUGGGAUUAUAGGCACCCAUCACCACGCCCAGCUAAUUUUUUGUAUUUUUAGUAGAAAUGGGGUUUCACCAUGUUAGCCAGGCUGGUGCCAAACUCCUGAUUUCAGGUGAUCCGCCCGCCUCAGCCUCCCAAAGUGCUGGGAUUACAGGCGUGAGCCACCACGCCCAGCCUUUUCCUUUUCUAUUUUCUUUUUCUUUUCACAGAUGCCUUUUGUGAAAACUGUCAAAUUGUUUCCUUUUAAUCAUUCUCUUUAGGGAUUAACCAAUUUUAUUAGUGGUUUCAGUUUUGGCUUUGUUGAUUCUCUCCGUUGUGUGUUUGUUUUUAUACUUAUUAUACAUUGAAAUCAUUUCCUCCUGUCUACUUUAUUAUAUAUUUAAAUCAUUUCCUCCUGUCUAUUUUUGUUGGGUUUCUUUAGUUGUUCUUUUCCUGACAUCUUAAAAUGAAUGUGCUUAGCUCAUUAUAUUUUAAGUCUUUCUUCUUCCCUAAAAUAUGCAAUUAAGGCUAUAAAUUUCCCCCCAAACACUGCAUUAGCUUUACUCCAUAAGUUUUGUUGUAUUUUGUUUUUCAUUACAUAUAGUAUAGUUCAAAGUAAUUUCAAAUUUCCGUUUUUAUUUGUUCUGAAACCCAUGCAUUAUUUAGAAGUAUAUUUUAGAAGCACGUUACUCGAAAGUAUAGUUUUCAAAGGUACAGGGACUUUUUAAUAUUUUUAUUAUCGAUUCUUAAACUAUUUGCAAUAUGUUAGGAUAACAUUAUCUGCUGUAUUUUAAUCCUUUGAAAUGUGUUGAAACUUGCGUUUUGGCCCAGCAGAUCAUCGUAUUUUAAAAUGGAUGAUAUCUUUUUGAAAAUAACAUAUUUUUCACUUGUUGGGUGCACAGUUCUCCAUAUGUUCAUACAACAAGAUUGUUCAUUAUGAUGUCUCAAAUCUUCUACAGUGUUAUUGAUUUAUUGUCUGCCUGUUCCAUUGAUUACUGAAAAAGCUGUGUCAAACAUCCCACUAUGAAUAUGGACUUGUCUGUUUCUCCAUAUAAUUCUGUUCACAUUGCUCUAUGUAUCAUGUAAUUAGGUACAUACAAAUUUAAAAUAAUCUUUUAUUAUUAUAGGGUGACCCUCCUUAAUUCUAGAGACGCUUUUUUUUUUUUUUUUCAUUUUAAAGUACAUUUGCUUGACAUUGGAAUUUACUACACUGGCUGUCCUAAUAGUAUUUCAAUAGUGUAUACUUCUUUAUUAUUUUCCUUUCAGUCUUGCUUUAUCUCUAAGUAUUACACGUGUUUCUUGUAUUUAAUAUUUGUUGGAUUUGGUGUCUAUCCAGUAUGACAAUCUUUGUCUUUUAGCUGGAGCAUUUAACCCACUUACCAUUCAUGUAAUUACUGAUAUGCAGUUUGCCAUGAAUGGGCUUUCUAUUCAUC